GCAUUGUUGGGAAAUGACUGAUCUUUAAUGUAGUAAUCAGUAAGUCUUAUGUGGCUGUAAGGUGAUCUUGACUGACAUCACUGCAUGUGAUUAGUGCACAUGGUUAUAUAUGUUCUUUUACUGAGUUGCAGAUGAAUGUAAAGGUCUUACCUACCAACAGAAGAAUAAGAAAGCAUCUAAAAAGUGGAGAGAAAGAAGUGACCUGGAGAAUAAAAAGUUUGUGGAUUCUGCGAAAGUUUAUAAAGAAUUAAAUGUCAAAGUAUCAGAACUCACGGAAGAGUAGAAAAGAAAACUAAUUGAUAGACACAGAAAGAAAUUUUUGGAAGAGAUCCUGGUUCUUGAAGAUUUGUGUUUUCAGACAUCGACAUUAUAUCUGGAUGUCAGUGGUGAAGUGUACAACCUUGGAUCUAGGGCUGGAACAGCAUUUCUUGCAACUAAUCAAGAGAUAAGCAUAAAACUUCGAGAAUAUUUUGGUGCAAAUAAUCAGCAAUUUACUAUUGCUCAUGUGCAAGACCUUUUCAACAAGAAAUCCAGUAAGUGUUUAAAAAACUGCAGAAUUUGUCAUUAAAAAACUACGUUUUGUAUGUAACUAAUA